AUCAACAAUCCCAUCAGCAACCAGACCACACAUCUGGACAUCAUUCAACUCUGUCACACAUGUGCAGAUCAGAGCCUACCCAUGUUGUACAUAGUGCUGAUCUCUGCUGCUGCUGGAUCUCUGUUGAUUGUCACUGCUGUCAUGAUCUUCUGCAUCUACAGGAAAUGUAGAAAAACUGAUCAAGAAGGCAAGUGUUUCCUACUGCUUUUAAAGCUGUCAGUCACUAGGACAAUUAAGGAGACAGUAACUACACCAAGGAGAAACAGGGACAAAAUGAAGCAGAAAUAAUUAACAAACAUCCACAGAACAUAAUUAUAAUCGCUCAGCUGGUGUUCAAAUGAACAUCCCUAUGAAUGACAAUGUUUCAUGUGUGGGUCUCGCUUGUUGGGCUUCAAUGAAAAUUACAUGUGAAGAAUUUCUCAUUGCUUACUCUGCUAAGAACUUUGUGUGUGUAACAUUCCUAAUGUCAAGCUGAAUAAAUUAUUUACUGACAUUUUUUUUUUAAAUGCAGCAUUAAAUAUUUGUUAAAACGUGUGCAUUAAUGCUUAUAUUUGGGCCUUGAUGUUGUAAGGAAACAUCUAGUUAAGACUGAGUUGUUUUAAUUUAUCUGUAAUUUUUGUUUAAACAGUUCAGAGUUGUGAAGAAGAGAUCACUUACAUUGAUCCAACAUUCCACAAACGAAAACCCCAAUCGAAAGUUAAAGAGGAGGAUCAUGUGGUGUAUGCGCCUGUCACCAUGAGAUGAUGAUCAAAUGUCAGUCAAAAAGAGUACUUGUACUAAGUACCAGAUCCAGCUGUGUGAUCACUUUCACUUGGAAACUCCUACCCCAGACUUUGAAGUUUUGGGAUUGGUGAGAAUCACCAAAUGUAGUAUUUACUAUAAAUUUAGACACACGCCAUUAGGGUUAGUUCACCCAUAAUUCUUUCAUCAUUUAAGACUUGAUGUACAAGAGCAAUCCUCACCGUUUCUUGUGUAUCAAACAUUCAGGUUUGAGUUUCCAAAUUUGAUGAACUGUAUUUUGAUGUAUUUG